rnacentral:rRNA from 1 species
GACGUAGGGCGCGAGCGUUGUCCGGAUUUAUUGGGCGUAAAGAGCUCGUAGGCGGCUUGUUGCGUCAGCUGUGAAAACCCGCAGCUCAACUGUGGGCUUGCAGCUGAUACGGGCAGGCUUGAGUUCGGCAGGGGAGACUGGAAUUCCUGGUGUAGCGGUGAAAUGCGCAGAUAUCAGGAGGAACACCGGUGGCGAAGGCGGGUCUCUGGGCCGAAACUGACGCUGAGGAGCGAAAGCGUGGGGAGCAAACAGG